rnacentral:rRNA from 1 species
UGUUUCGGCAAGGGGGUCAUCCCGACUUACCAACCCGAUGCAAACUGCGAAUACCGGAGAAUGUUAUCACGGGAGACACACGGCGGGUGCUAACGUCCGUCGUGAAGAGGGAAACAACCCAGACCGCCAGCUAAGGUCCCAAAGUCAUGGUUAAGUGGGAAACGAUGUGGGAAGGCCCAGACAGCCAGGAUGUUGGCUUAGAAGCAGCCAUCAUUUAAAGAAAGCGUAAUAGCUCACUGGUCGAGUCGGCCUGCGCGGAAGAUGUAACGGGGCUAAACCAUGCACCGAAGCUGCGGCAGCGACGCUUAUGCGUUGUUGGGUAGGGGAGCGUUCUGUAAGCCUGUGAAGGUGUGCUGUGAGGCAUGCUGGAGGUAUCAGAAGUGCGAAUGCUGACAUAAGUAACGAUAAAGCGGGUGAAAAGCCCGCUCGCCGGAAGACCAAGGGUUCCUGUCCAACGUUAAUCGGGGCAGGGUGAGUCGACCCCUAAGGCGAGGCCGAAAGGCGUAGUCGAUGGGAAACAGGUUAAUAUUCCUGUACUUGGUGUUACUGCGAAGGGGGGACGGAGAAGGCUAUGUUGGCCGGGCGACGGUUGUCCCGGUUUAAGCGUGUAGGCUGGUUUUCCAGGCAAAUCCGGAAAAUCAAGGCUGAGGCGUGAUGACGAGGCACUACGGUGCUGAAGCAACAAAUGCCCUGCUUCCAGGAAAAGCCUCUAAGCAUCAGGUAACAUCAAAUCGUACCCCAAACCGACACAGGUGGUCAGGUAGAGAAUACCAAGGCGCUUGAGAGAACUCGGGUGAAGGAACUAGGCAAAAUGGUGCCGUAACUUCGGGAGAAGGCACGCUGAUAUGUAGGUGAAGUCCCUCGCGGAUGGAGCUGAAAUCAGUCGAAGAUACCAGCUGGCUGCAACUGUUUAUUAAAAACACAGCACUGUGCAAACACGAAAGUGGACGUAUACGGUGUGACGCCUGCCCGGUGCCGGAAGGUUAAUUGAUGGGGUCAGCGCAAGCGAAGCUCUUGAUCGAAGCCCCGGUAAACGGCGGCCGUAACUAUAACGGUCCUAAGGUAGCGAAAUUCCUUGUCGGGUAAGUUCCGACCUGCACGAAUGGCGUAAUGAUGGCCAGGCUGUCUCCACCCGAGACUCAGUGAAAUUGAACUCGCUGUGAAGAUGCAGUGUACCCGCGGCAAGACGGAAAGACCCCGUGAACCUUUACUAUAGCUUGACACUGAACAUUGAGCCUUGAUGUGUAGGAUAGGUGGGAGGCUUAGAAGUGUGGACGCCAGUCUGCAUGGAGCCGACCUUGAAAUACCACCCUUUAAUGUUUGAUGUUCUAACGUUGACCCGUAAUCCGGGUUGCGGACAGUGUCUGGUGGGUAGUUUGACUGGGGCGGUCUCCUCCUAAAGAGUAACGGAGGAGCACGAAGGUUGGCUAAUCCUGGUCGGACAUCAGGAGGUUAGUGCAAUGGCAUAAGCCAGCUUGACUGCGAGCGUGACGGCGCGAGCAGGUGCGAAAGCAGGUCAUAGUGAUCCGGUGGUUCUGAAUGGAAGGGCCAUCGCUCAACGGAUAAAAGGUACUCCGGGGAUAACAGGCUGAUACCGCCCAAGAGUUCAUAUCGACGGCGGUGUUUGGCACCUCGAUGUCGGCUCAUC